rnacentral:lncRNA from 1 species
UGGUGUCACUCAGAAGAAUGACAAUCAAAUAGGUUAGAAAAAAAGACUUUAAAAGUACCUCUGUUUGUGAUAUAAUCUUAGGAAUCAUGAAAUGUAGGUAAUGACGAGAACAAACACAAACUAAGAUGAUGACUUAAGCUAAGAAGAAAUACAUUAUAAGCCAAAUAAGAGAAGCUUCAGUAGACCCGUCUUAAUAAACAAAAUCAAUCUACAAACUUGUUAACAAUCAAUAGUAAGCAACCUGAUAGUCUCUGAAAGCUAAAAAUCCCAAUUUUUACGAAAUCACUCUAAGGUAACCAAAUGCUAGAAGUGCCUCCUAUGGAUUCUAAAAGCUUCCAGAGAUCUUGAACUAACAUACCUAGGUGAUUAAUUUCGUAUUUGUUUCCAACUACCACUGCUUAUUCCAUGACUAAUUUAGAUAUCUAAAAAGGUACACUUAGCUAAGAACAGGCUCAACUUCACUACUAAAAAUUUGGCACUGUAUUGAAUGUAAUCCAUAGCAACCGGAGAAUAUCUGCAUCACCCAAGUCUCUUAUCACUAGUGAAAGGAAUAAAGUGGCAAAUGAUAGUAGAGAGACUCAUAAUUCAACAGAUUAGCAAGACCACAGAGUUGGAUGCAAAAUUAAUGACCUCCAAUUGAAAGACUGAUAGGAUCAUCAUGUCCAGCCCCAAAUUCUUCCAGACAAUCUGCAAAAGCAUUUUCUCCUUUGGUUGCCUCUCCCAAACUUCCCCUACAAAAGAAAAGUAAUACAAUUCCUGUCAGGCGCUGAUAAAAUUCCUGGCCCACAUAGAUACAAUGACAAAAGUGGAGUAGCAACAAAGUAAUGUUACGGUUUAACAUUAUUUGAGUAGCAAACGAAAGCAAGCCAUAAACCCAACAACAUACAUAAUUGAAGAUUUACAUGAGAAUUUUAGUGAUCAAACAGCUCUUCACAUCUGCUAAUUAGGUAAGAGUAGAGACAAAAUGGUACCAAAAAAUCCAACUCCCACUUUCAGAAAAUAUGCCACAAAUGAUAUGCUUGAAAUCUUAUCCCCACGGAAAGAUGUGACGAAAAGAGAAAGAAAAAGUUAGAUUUAACGUACAUAAACUUCUUAACACCUUUGUGUAGCUUCUGACAACGAUCUUUAAGCUCAUCAGCUGUCCCCUCCAAUGAACAAACCUGAUUUAAUCAAUCAGAACAGACGCAAGACAACACUUUUGGUGAUAAAGUCACAUAAUUCAUACAAAAUUUCCUGAAUUCUCAAUACCCAGAAGGUAAUAAUAGACCAAAGCUUUCCAAUGUACCUGUUUCUGAAACAUUGGGGAAUCCUCGAGAUUGAUAAAGGUCGCCAUUGAUGAAACAAAAAGGAAGAAACUUUCAGAGGAAAGAGUGAAGAUUCGACCCGACCGACAAGUGAUUCGAGUUUUGGGUUGUGUGAUUCGGUGCAAAGAUGGGAUCUGGCGAGAUCCAGAGGCGUUUUCAGUUGGUGAUGAGUGAUGAUAGUGAUUGCUUUAGAAAUAGCUCCAUUCCACAACUAUUUCAUAUUUUCGAAUAUACCCUUCUUCGGAUCCUUUUUAUUUUUAUGCGUCAUUAUAUAAUCUCCUUUAAACAAUAUCGAGUUUUCACAAAUUUUAAUUUUGAAAAGGGGUUUGAAACAUUAUAAACAUCUCAGUAUUAGUUCUAACAACAUGUGAUUUUCUCUAAACAAGUCCUAUCAUGUGAAAUGGUUUCCAAAGCUUUCUGCUCUCUUGUUUGAAUCCUAUCCAUCAUCUUUCUCAUAGACUUGAUCUCAUUCUCUGUCUUCUUUAUCUUUCUUUCCCUUGACUCUAUCUUCUUUCUUCUUUUCAAUACUUUUUUCCUCUUUUCUUCAUCUUUUGCAUCCAUAGCCUUAUAGAUUACACCAAAUGGCUUAGAUCAGAAGAACUACUAUUACUCUAAACCGGAUUAACGUUUGUUAUAAUUCGGUUGACAAAACACACACAAAUGGAAUUAAGAAACACGGUUUGACCUUGAUCUGGUUGCGUAAGUCCUUGGUAGAAGGUAAUGAUUUCCAUAGAGAGGCUUGAGAAGGAGCAUUAACAAACACUUGAUCUCUCUCGCAUUCAAGUUCCCUUAGCUUUCUCUCGUAUGUUUCUUCAUUGAUUGUGCUUGUGCUAUCAAAAUAUGGCCAUUUCUUCGAACAAUAUAACUUCCUCAUCUGCUCUACAGAAAUAAUUAAAUCAGCUUAGAAAAAGAAAAAAACAUAUCAAUCACAACAAGACCUUCAAUUUUGAAUCACAGUUCUGAUAUAUGUAUAUAGAAUAUCAAAAAUUUAAAAGAUUAAGAAUGGGUAUAAUAUUACAGUACUUAACUUGUCCUUUAAUUUGUUCAAGGGAAAUAACAGACUCUGUAUCAUCCUUAUUUGGAUUCAGCAUCUUAAGAAGGCGUCUCUCACCACUCAUGCAAUGCGCCUUGUGUAACAUCUGAUUGUUUAGAUUCUGUAAUAUAGUAUAAAAAAAAAACAUAUGUUUCUAUAUAACAUUUUGAGAUGAGUAAUCACAGAUCAAACUGAGAGAAUAUAUAUGUGAUCAGCGUAAUUAGCAAUUAGGGUUUCUAACGUGGAAAUUAAUUUCUCGUUCCCCGGACGAAAAUGAUAUAAUAGACUUCUUGUCACGAUAGGCGUUAUUAGCAAAAGUGAGUUUGUCUAGCUCCAUCUUCUUAGUGCAGUUCGGAAAGUUCACCAUGAGCUGGUCAUCCUCGAUCGGUCUCCAUCUAUGACGCAAGUUGAUUUCUAGUCCUGAGAUGUACUGAUCAUGAGCAACCUGUGCUUGAUAGAGUAAAACAUUCGCCAGCUUUAGUUAAUUCGAUUCACAAUAUUAUGUAUGUAUAGAGAGAUAAAAGACUACACAACAGACUAACAUACCUUUUUCUCUUUGAGUUGCUUUUCGAGUUGAAGUAUUUGUUGUCGCAUCUCCUCCACCAUCUUCUCAUUCUCUUCUAUUGACUUGGCAUAGUGAUAUUGAUUCUUCUUAAGCCCAACAAGAUCUUGAUGCUCUACAUUUCGACUAACUUUUUUCCUUCCAACCUCCAUUGCCUCAGGGAAUUUUUAGGUUGCAGAAAAAUGGAAGAUUUGUUUUUAGAUAACUGUUUACAAAUUGAAGACACUUGCUUACUUGAGUUUAAAAUGCACAUCAGCGUUGAGACUUUUAACAUAAACUUGUUGUCUCUCUGUACAAUUUUAAAAUUCUGUUAUUUGGAACUUGGUUUGCACUCCAAGAAAGUUGACCUUGUUGCCAUCUUUUAUUUUAUUUUCUUAAUUCAACUUACACUAAUUGAAAGUAUUUUUUGGUCACUCGAGCAAAUAAUGUUUUUAUAUUUUAGAAAUAAAUAUUGAAUAAAUUCUAAAUCCCAUACAAAUAUGGAGCAAUCUUCAUGAGAGGCUCGAGGGUGCUCACAUGAAACUUCCUUCCGAAAAGAAAACACACAUUCGUCACCUCACCCUCGUAGCUACAAUUCGACCCGAACCGGAUCCUAUCCAUAAACACGACCCGAAUAUCCUUCCCCACGAACCUCGCUGGAUGUGAUCCACCUCUCGACCAAUCCACCCACGUCACGGUCCGGUUUGAGUUCAUCUCCGGACAGAUCUUGUUAACCAACGUCGGAAGAUAAUGUUCAUCCAUGUAACACGGCGGCCGGCAGUGAUCCUUAAACACGUCGUAGUACAGGCGGUCGGAGACGAUCUCGGCGGCGACUCUACGCGAGACCUCGAACCAUUGGUUUCCUUUCCGCCAGUCGGAGAGCGACACGUGUGGGAGCAUCUUGGGUGUGUAACGGCCUCGUCCCAUGGGCCUUGGGUCGUCGAACGAGCCGAGGAAAGAGCGUGUGGAGCGCGUUAGGUAAUCGUAGACAGUGGUGAAGUUGAAGAGAGGGAUGCAAGUCUCCGAGAGGAGGACGAAGCGUGCGUUCGAAGGUUCUAGUAACGCGUGAGAUAAAAGACGCUUCUCUGCGUCCAUCAUCGACGAUUUCCCCCAUUCUACUGCCUUGUAAUAAAAUUUAUACAUUUUCAAACUGUAUCUCAAUAAAAUACUACAAUAGGCCAACAAAACCUAAUUAAUCAUACCUUGCUUGGUAUGCGUUUCUUGUAAAACACUGAAGAUUCAUGCGGCUCCUCAGUGAACUCUGGUGAGGUAUGAACGUAAAUGGAAUAAAACCCUUCAUGCCCUUUAAAGAACAUUUCCCAAAGAGGGGACAACGGCAAAUUCCACCUCGUCAGAAACAUGAACGCAACCUUUGGAUGAGUCGUUCCAUUCAUCAUGGGGCUGCGAGGAGAAGGAGAAGGAGGAUGGGAGAGAGGAGAAGUUAGUGGAUUUGAGGAGAGUGUGUGAUAUUCUUCCACUAGGAAGAGUGAGGUUUGGAGGCGUUGGUUAAGGUAGAGAGCGAGGAGGAUGACGAGAGAGGAGACGGAGGAGAAGAAGACCACGGUCCCGAGGAUGUGUACGUAUCGGAGACUCGUAGAUUCUUUUUUCAUCUGUAAGUUGAGUUCUUUGACGAAGGUUGCGAUCUUUUGCUUCUUCAUGUAUUAGUUUUGUGCAUAUAUAUUAUAUCUACUCUUCGUAUUUAGCUUGCUCUAGCUACGUCGUUUGAUUCAGUCCUCUUUUAUUUUGUGUGUAGCUAGUGUGUACAUAUAUAUAGUAGCUAUUGCCUAAGAAUAUAUUUUGUUUGUGGCAAAGUGGUGCGGCAUAAUUUAAAAAUAAGAUAACCGUUUCGGUCACAAAAUAGGCAUAUAAUAGGGAUUGAAAGUUCCACUGUUAACUAUGUUGAUUAAUAAAAUAUAAGAAAACCCAUAUACAUAUAUUUUAAGAUAUGAUGUUAUCUGAAAACAAGGAAAAGUGUCUUCCAUACUCAUGAGUAUUUAGGUAUCUUUAAUCCUGCUAAACCUAGGCAGGCAUGAUCAUGUUGUAUGAUGAGCAUAUGGUGUGGGAUGAACUAUAUAUGCAUGAGAAUCGUGGGUUUAGUGAAACGUGAUUUUUUCAAGUAAACAAAAAGAAGAGGAUGACAUGCAGCAUGAAAUUUGCGGCAAUGUUAAAGCAUUGUUAUGCUCAGAAAAAAAGAAGUUAAAACGUUAAAUAGAAGAUUAACAAAAGAAGCUUUCAGGCGUUAUGUGUUUUUUUUUCUUUUAACCUCGUAAACUUUUUCUUUCUCCUUGUGUCUAGGCAGGCGUCAAUCGUAGCAAUUAAGAAAGUACGCAAACCAUAUUUGGUGUAUCAAGGUGGAGGCAGUGCUACAUCAUCUUCAGUAUGCAACAUAAUAGCAAUAGUAACUUGUGACUUGUGAGUUUAGAGGAUGAGAUGAAAAAUAGCUUCAAAAUAUUACUAGGUGCUUCCCACACAUCCAAGAAAGAUGCACUCAAAAGGCCCAAAUUUAAAAACUGAUACAAAAACUUAAAAAGGGUCGUAUUAAAGCCCAAAAGGCUUUUGUUUGUUAUUUCCAUGUUUCUUAACGAAUUAUACGACUUAUCAACCAAUUCCCUUUAUUAUUUAAAAAAACAAAAAGCUAUCGUCGCUUUCUUCUUCAUCUUCUAAAAAAGUAAGCUCAAUGUUGUAAUCCGAAUCCGACGAAUCCUGCUCCUGAGUCCUGCCUAAGCUUCCUCUAUCUCUGUGUUGACUCUUCCGGCGAUCCAACAACGCUAUUCUCGGGGUAUGUCGGACGAUUCAGCUAUUUUCCCAUGAGCUUCCUCUUUUGGUUUCAAUGUUUUGUUUUCUGCAGAGUUUUAUUCCUCUUAGGGUUUUGUUACCCAGCCUACUCCACGAAACGAACGUUAAGGGAAUUUACUAGAUAUUAGAUUAGUAAUUUACGUGCUCGAUGAUGAGAUCCUUGAAUUAUUAUUUGGGAGAUUCUCCAGAAUCCGAAAUUGCUGCUAGGUCUUUGAUUUUUAUGUGUAAUUAGAUUUUCGGUUGUGAUUUGCGAAGCUCGAUCUUAUUCGAUAUGAUUUCUUUGAAUUGUUAACUUGAGCUAUCGCGUCUGGAUUUUGCAGAACAAAUCCUGAUUUUUUCUUGCAAGUUCAGAGAUUUUACCUGAACUUAAAGGAAGAUAUUGCUCUACGGCGUGUUUAUAGAUGCCUCGGGACUUGUCAAGAUCGAGGUCACCUUCUCCAUCACCGACACGUCGCAGAAAGCAUUCCAGGUCUCCUGUAAGGCAUAGGCGUAGCAGGAGGACUAGACGAGACAGAAGCCGUUCUCCGUACUCUUCUUAUUCGUAUAGCAGGUGAUACCCGUAAUGUGUCUGCGCUUUUCCAUACUUAUCAUUGGUUUGUUACACAAAAAGAACUGUAAGAAUCUCAAUUGCUUUUACUAUAGUUCCCACUUAGAUUUCUACCCUUCUCUAUAAGGGAGUGCAAUGUCUGGAUGCUGCUGGCUCUAUCGUAAGCUUUUUUUGAGUGAUGUUUCUUUUUGGAAAUAUCUUAUUCAUUUGGCUGUUGUGAGCAGUGUGUAAAGUUGUGGUUUUAGACAAUGCAGCCUGAAUCAGUAAAGACAUAAGUGAAGUUGAGAUAUUGAGAGUACUGAUUUCUGAUCUAGUAUAUAUUUUUGUAUUAUGUCUAGAUAGAUGGCGUGAUUAUUUGUUAGAAUCAGUUCAGGCGCAACUAUUAUGUUCUUUUGAAGUGAAGUUUGUUAGCAAUAAUGAGACAAAACCAUUACAUUUUUUUAGGUAAGAUCAUAUAGUAAUUUGUUGAGAACAUGGCUGACAAGUUAAGAAAAUGAUACAUGCUCUUACCACUAUAAAAAGCUUAAUUUCUUCCCCGUUCCACGGGAGAGGAAAUGAGCUGCUGAUGGAUAGCUGUUUGGUGUUAUUUCAUUGAUCCCUUGUCUCAUUAGCUUCUUCGUGUGAUAAAAGUUGGAGCUGAUAAUUCUUUACAGUGUAUGAGGUAACUGCACAUACUUUUGCUUCCUUUAUGUGAAAUUGUAGGCAACCUGAUGGCUAGUCUUCACGUGCGUGGUAGUUCGUUAGUUGCAUAUUUUGCUUACUGCUUUAUUUGGGGUAUUGUACAGACGAAAAAGUCGUUCUAUUUCUCCUAAACGCCACCGAAGUCGAUCUGUUACUCCUAAGAGACGUUCUCCAACUCCAAAACGUUACGAAAGACAAAAGAGUAGGAGUUCCACUCUAUCUCCUUCCGCAUCCCUUGACUCAGCUAAACAUAGGAAUGGAGAAAAACUUAAAAGAGAAGAGGAAGAGCGAAAAAGGUAAAUCAAUACAAAAUUUUAACUAUGAUGGAUGUUAUUGUGAAAUAAGGUAAUGUAAUUCUAGUGUAGACUGUCUAGUGUGGAAGUCCUUGAUUGUUAGUCUUCAAAGUGCAACAGGUUUCACGGUAUUCUCUCACAGGCUUCACUUAUGGAAGAUAAGCUAUCUUUCGACUUGUUCAGAUUUGAUCCUCUGGCACAAAUAUUCAUACUAUCUCGAUUUGAUGAGUUACCGUGAGUCAUUUUAUGGAUCAUGAUUGAGUUAGAGUUGUAAAUAUGUCAAAAGCACAUGAAUAGCCUCGGUGAAGGUUUGCUUGUGUUAUGGCGAUACAAAAUAAUACUUCACGAAUUUACCGUUGGCGUUGGGAGGAGUGGAAACAAAAAAAAGUUUCACCUAUUUGUCUCUGGUUUGGAAUAAAUUGUUGGUUUUGCUGUUCAAGAUUGAAGACAUCAGGACAUGAGAAAGUUCAGGUGAUAUUCAAGAUUCUGGAUCUGCUGUGGGUGUCCUCUAACUUUUCACUAUAUUUUCUUCCAGGCGACAGCGUGAAGCGGAACUGAAGCUGAUAGAGGAAGAAACUGUGAAACGGGUUGAAGAAGCUAUUCAAAGAAAGGUCGAAGAAAGUUUACAUUCUGAAAAAAUUAAAAUGGAAAUUCUAAAGCUGCUGGAGGAAGGGCGGAAGAGACUUAUUGAAGAAGUGGCGGUUCAACUUGAUAAGGAGAAGGAGGCUUCUCUUAUCGAGGCUAAAGAAAAAGAGGUAACGUUCUUCAUAAAAUAAGAAUAAAGCCUAAUACCCUUCUCAAUACAAAGAAUCUUUUUGUCAAAAAGCUUGCAGAUGUUGAUGGUCAUUCUUUCAUAAGAUGUUUUUUUUCUUGCUAAGUUUCACGGAUAAUCUAUUCAUGUGACUUCACUUCUGGAGUAGAGUAACUUAAAGGGAAAAAGAAAUUGCCAUUUCUAUGAGCUGCUUUAGUUUUCUAGGUGGAGACUGUUGGGCAUUUCCUCAUUUUAUUAAAUUGAUUAUGCUCUUGUCAGAUUCCUUAUUAUGCAGUGGCAUGGUUUGAAAUGACUUUGCUCGUGGUGUAUUAGAAUGAAUUCAAAUUCCUUAUUAAAAAUUUGAUAUUACAAGUCUGUCCAUCAUGGAGCAUUUGUUGAAAAGAGAGCCUUUUUUCAGGGGGUUAUGCGGUGUUUGUCGCAGGAAAGAGAGCAACAAGAGAAAGAAGAGAGGGAGAGAAUAGAAGAGGAGAACCUUAAGAGAGUGGAAGAAGCUCAGAGGAAAGAAGCAAUGGAGAGGCAAAGGAAAGAGGAGGAACGGUAUCGGGAGCUGGAGGAGCUGCAAAGACAGAGAGAAGAAGCGAUGCAAAGGAAGAAAGCUGAAGAGGAAGAAGAACGCCUCAAACAGAUUAAGCUGCUGGGUAAAAACAAAUCACGCCCUAAAUUAUCUUUUACAUUAAGCUCCAAGUGAAGAUAAAAACGAUUGUGAUGGAUAUGCAUCUUUCAUCAUCUCAAAGUUGCUUUAUGAUUAUCGUUUUUAGUGCUACUGCUUCUCGUUGGAGCUUGAAACAUUCUUAGAUGAUUUAAAUAUAACUCUAGUUUCUCGUUUGUAAUUUUACGUUAAGUUCAUGGUUGGAUGGGAAAAGAUAGGAAGGUGAUGAAUGAAUAUGUUAACCAUCCGUUCUCAGAAUGAUGAACAGUUAACACACUUGUCAUCCUACUUUAAAAUUAGCCGUUGAAUGUAUAACAAUAUCACAAUGAUUCGGAAAAUUUAUCACUCCAUAAUAACCAUCUGUUCUUACUUCCAUAAUAGAACAAUUAAAAUAAAUAAAAACCACAGAAUCCUGAAGAUUAUUUAAUAAUUAUUGCUUCAAAUAAUACAUAUUUUCGAUUAUACCCUUCUCUCUGUAUCUUUUAUUUUUAUGUCUUUUAAAACGCAUUAUUUGCAAAAAAACGCAAGUGGUAUAAAAGGAAAUAUCAUUAGAGUGUUUCACACGCUUUCCAAAAUUUUUUCAGAUCAGCUUGUUUCCUUUUUCCCCUCCCGAUCAAGAACGAUCGUCCGCGAAUCUCGGCGAUCCACACUUUUCAAGGCGACAUGGCUAAUCUUCAAGAGAUGGUGUUUUUCAAUCCAGGUACGAUUUGGAUCUCAGUAAAACGCAAAAAUCUGUAGAGGUUUUGGGAUAAACCCUACUUCAGAGAGCAAUUAACAAAGGUUUAUGAAACCCUAAUCCUAAAGCAAGCAAUUAAUUUAGGUUAAAUCGGAAUUAGGUUUUGAUAUGUAUCACUAAUUUAGGGAGCAAUCAACUCAAUCGGAUUUAGGGGUUGAUACAAAUCCCUAAUUUAGGGAGCAAUUAAUUCAAUCGUAUCUAGGUUUUGAGAUGAAAAGCAAUUAUUUAAUUGUUUAAUUGUUUAUUCAGGUGGAACUCGCGUAAACCGUAUCUUAAAUGGAUCAAGAAUUACAUGGGUGACUGCUCUAGACGUCUUCGACCUUUUCGAAGUCUUCGGUGACUUCACUCUCUCCCAAAACAUUCCUGCAAACACAACAGGGCUCUUCAAGAUAGAAUCUGGACGAUUUUAUGACAACAACGAAAAUUGGCUUCCAACCAAUAAUCUCAACAACAGCACUGUGAGAUCUAGAACGCUGGUAAAAAUUACAGACUAAACUCAUACACUCUAUAGUUACUUACAAACUAUCUUAUUCAAAAUGCUUUUCUUUGGCCAGAGGAACGGACAAAUUCUUUUCAAUUAUACUGAGAGCAGAAUGGCUCCCCAAAAUGGCACAGUUUUCACCAAAAGAGUCAUCAGGAGGAGGAAUAUACAAGCCUAUAAUGGCUUCACUUUGGUACAAUACAUGAGGGUCCCGCAACAUUAAAAGGGAUAUGAUGAAGAAAGAUAAGUAACACACACCUUCUCCUGCAUUGCAUACUGUUCUCAUGAGGACCAUGAAUUGUCUUUUGGUGCAUACUGUUGGCUUUUAGUUUUUCCUGCUUUAAUAGAAAACACAACAUCAAAUAUCUGCUGUUUUCCUAGUGUUUCUAUUUAGUGAAUUUGGAGGAACAAUAAACAUCAAAAAAAAAUGUAAAGAGCACAGCUUUGUUUUCCAUAGAAUGAAUUUGGAGGAAUCCACCAACCAAAUACUAUAAUGAGUAAAAUGGGUACCUGGAGUGUGUAAGUUUUUUGAGGAGAAAUAAUUCUGAAACAGAGCCGAAGAUCCAUGUCUUCUGCAUCUAGUUUUAUAAAAGAAAUGCCAAGAUCAAUAGUAUUAUAGCCUAAGCUGCCCUCAGUGAGCGAACCUGAUCGAUUAUCUCUUGCACGAAAUCGCGACCAAACACCCCAGUAUUAUGGUCAGAUGAACCACUAUAGUGAUGCUGAGAUCCCUGAGAAUACGAAUAGCAAAAAAGUCAUCUGUUAUAAAAAAACAGAUGUAGGACUUGCUUCAACUGUUAAACAGAUGGUUAGUUCUACAAUCUAUACUUCUAUAGAUAUAAACAAUAGCAUGAGGAAGUGCCAGGUAUUAUACACGCAACAAUUCAUUAAACGCUUAAUAUUAAUAGUUCGUGUCAAAAUAGGAAAAUUUUCCACAGUUGAUGACCUGAUAGAGUUAACAAUUAAAGCUGAUACAGCAAUCUUAUCACUUGUUGACUUGUUACUACUCAUUUAUUGUCCCACUAUUUCAUAACAAAUCAAUAAUUCAAUUCAGGGAAAGAAAGGAUUCAUGAACAAUCAACGAGAUUUCAGAAAUUGUAACAAUUGGCAUGUAAAACGAAUAACCAAAUUUGAAAGGACUUAUGGAUGACUCUCAUGGAAAUGAGGCAGGAAAAAAGAGUGCAUACGUACCAUUGAUUUAUUACCAUUACUUCUAUAAUAGUACAUAGAACCAUGAUUAUCAAGGACAAAAAACUUUCUUUUCCAAUCAGUUCUCAAACUUGAUGAACGCUUUAAUAAAUAUCCCUGUUUGAUUACCUGCAUCGGUACAGAAAGGAACUCUGUAAGACAAUAAGAAAUCCAGCUUUGUAAGUGUCAAAUGAUCACAAACGAGUCUCUAUAUGUUGCAGUGUUGCACAAUCGCAUUGGCGCACAAGAUGCUAGUAAUAAUUGUGUAAGGGAUAUCAGGAAAUUUAAACAGAGAGUAAAAACACACAAUAAAGAGGUUAAGGAAAGCAAGAGAGAAAGGAAACUUUUCUCGUGACUACAAGCAGGAAGAAAACUCAUCACACCAGUUCAGAUGAAGAAUAUAAUCAUCUGUGCAUUCUUGUGGUGUGCAACACCAGCUUUCAAACAUAUUUUUAAUAAGGAUCAGAAAACGUGCAUCCAACUGCACGCACAAGAAAUUAAGGGAGAAAGUACCUGAUCGUACAAAUGAGCAGCUUUAUCUAAUCGAUUCCGAGGAUCCUGCAAUGGUAGAAACAGCAUAGUUACUUCUCGAUAUAUAAUUUGGAACAAGAAAUAAGAGACAUUAUCGAUCAAACUAUAAAAUUCGAGACACUCAGUGCACUAAUAAAGUUCAUCAACCUCUCAAGCAACACAUACUCCACCUAGAAAAUUUUCCCCAUAAAAUACCAUAACUGUUAUAUAGAAAGAGACACUGUUAAGGGAUUUACACUAAAUCGACUGCAUAUUUGGCAUUUUAAACUCAAACUGUCCUACCUUACAUUCAUCCCUUUUUCACAAAGUUGAUAAGUAACUCAAAACAGAUAUAUACAGAAAAAAAUAUAUAUAUAUAUAUCAAGAUGCUAAACCCUGAAUCAACAAAGACCACCACACUAACCAAAUCUAAGUUUAAAUUACCAAACAGGAAUACACUCUCAAUGAUGAGAGGCCUUUGUUAGUAUUUACUGGCAUUUACUAUUGUUCACCGGAUACAAUGAGAAUACCUGGGAGCAAAGAAAAUUCUUGUAAGAAGCAAGCUCUCAGAAGAGUAUUUAUGAAUUUGGAUAUAACUGGGCCUGGUAUCACUCAGAAGAAGAAAAAAAUAUAUAUGUUAGAAAAAAAGACAUUUAAAGUACCUCUGUUUGUGAUAUAAUCUUAGAAAUUAUGAAAUGUAAGCAAUGAAGAGAAAAAACAUAAACUAAGAUGAUGACUUAAGCUAAGAAGAGAUAGAUUAUAAGCCAAAUAAGAGAAGCUUCAGUAGACCAGUCUUAAUAAACAAAAUCAUCUACAAACUUGUUAACAAUCAAUAACAAGAAAUCUGAUAGUCUAUGAAAGCUAAAAAACCCAAUUUUUACGAAAUCACUCUAAGGUAACCAAAUGCCAGAAGUGCCUCCUAUGGAUUCUGAAAGCUUCCAAUAUACCUAGGUGAUUAAUUUCCUAUUUGUUUCCCACUACCACUGCUUAUUCCAUGACUAAUUUAAAUAUCUAAUAAGGUACACUUAGCUAAGAAACACAGCAAGGCUCAACUUCACUACUAAAAAUUUGGCACUAUAUUGAAUGUACUCCAUAGCAACUGGAGAAUACCUGC